rnacentral:rRNA from 1 species
AUGCCAGGAGCAUCGACAGUCACAAUAAUCUUCAUAGCAAGCAUCAUCCUCCCAGCAGUAGGAACACUUGUCGGAGCCUCUUCUGGAUGCUCCAUGUCGUUGCCAGGUUGCCCCGACAAGUGCGGUGACAUAUCAAUCCCAUACCCCUUUGGGAUUGGCGCGGAGUCCGCGGCCAACCUGAGCAGGUACUUCAACCUCAUCUGCGACGACACGAUUAAUCCACCACGGCCAAUGGUUGGGGAUCCCGGAGGAGAAGAUGAGAUCAUCGACAUCUCACUGGAGCACGGCGAGAUGCGCGUUUUCAGCCCCGUUAGCUACAUAUGCUUCGAGUCGAACACCACAUUCAGCUGGUCCACAGUAGGGUACGAUCUGCAGCUCACGCCCUUCCUUCCGUCACCAUCGCGUAACCGCUUCACAGUCAUCGGCUGCGACACCGUGGGGCUCAUCAGCGGCUACAAAGACACCACAGGCAAGUACAGGGCUGGCUGCUACUCCUACUGUGAGGGCGCCAACAACACGUCUGAAGGUGCGCCAUGUGCUGGAAUGGGCUGCUGUGAGGCUGCCAUCCCCAACAACCUCACCUCCUUGGAGGUCGUGUUUGAGAUGGACCAGAGCAAGGUAUGGCACUUCAACCCAUGCUUCUACGCCAUGGUGGCUGAGGUUGGGUGGUACAACUUCAGUCAGCAGGACCUCGUCAGUAGACUUGGGUUCAUCGAUCAGCGAGCCAAGAAGGGUACCCGCAUCGUCGCUGAUUGGGCCAUUAGGAAUGGCUCAUGCCCAGAGACGGGAAAGGACAAACCUAAGGACUAUGCUUGCAUCAGUACAAACAGCUAG